rnacentral:rRNA from 1 species
UCGCGGCCUAUCAGCUUGUUGGUGAGGUAACGGCUCACCAAGGCGACGACGGGUAGCCGGCCUGAGAGGGCGACCGGCCACACUGGAACUGAGACACGGUCCAGACUCCUACAGGAGGCAGCAGUGGGGAAUAUUGCACAAUGGGCGCAAGCCUGAUGCAGCGACGCCGCGUGGGGGAUGAAGGCCUUCGGGUUGUAAACCCCUUUUAGCAGGGAAGAAGCGAAAGUGACGGUACCUGCAGAAAAAGCGCCGGCUAACUACGUGCCAGCAGCCGCGGUAAUACGUAGGGCGCAAGCGCUGUCCGGAUUUAUUGGGCGUAAAGAGCUCGUAGGCGGCUCGGUAAGUCGGGUGUGAAAACUCAGGGCUCAACCCUGAGAUGCCAUUCGAUACUGCCGUGGCUAGAGUCCGGUAGGGGAGCGUGGAAUUCCUGGUGUAGCGGUGAAAUGCGCAGAUAUCAGGAGGAACACCAGCGGCGAAGGCGGCGCUCUGGGCCGGUACUGACGCUGAGGAGCGAAAGCGUGGGGAGCAAACAGGAUUAGAUACCCUGGUAGUCCACGCCGUAAACGUUGGGCACUAGGUGUGGGACCUUAUCAACGGGUUCCGUGCCGUAGCUAACGCAUUAAGUGCCCCGCCUGGGGAGUACGG